UGAAAAUAAAUUUGGGCAGUAAGGGGUUAAACUAUUGCAGAUAUGGAAACAAGAGAAAGGAAUGUGCUGUGUUACCAGGUGUCACAUCACAGAAUGUUCCUGUCACAGGAAUGAUCUGAGGGAAUUAAAUGAACUGGAAUUACCUUCCACACCUAAGAAUUUUACAUUAUAUAAUAGCAUGUGGUGACAUGUUUAACUCAGUUCAAGUUUAAAAUAGGGCUUCAGUCUGUGUCUUAUUUGAAUGUAUCUA